rnacentral:rRNA from 1 species
GUUGACCUCGGAUCAGGUAGGGAUACCCGCUGAACUUAAGCAUAUCAAUAAGCGGAGGAAAAGAAACCAACAGGGAUUGCUCUAGUAACGGCGAGUGAAGCAGCAAUAGCUCAAAUUUGAAAUCUGGCGUCUUCGACGUCCGAGUUGUAAUUUGUAGAGGAUGCUUCUGAGUAACCACCGACCUAAGUUCCUUGGAACAGGACGUCAUAGAGGGUGA